GAGGUAUCUUCAUGAUUCUGCCCAGUGAUUUUUUUUUAAAUGGCCGCAGUACCUUGACUGUGCUAAGGUAGCAUAAUCAAUUGGCUUCUAAUUAAAGUCUGGAAUGAAAGGAAAUAUGAAGUAAUUCUAUCUUAAAGGAUUUUUUUUGAAUUUAUUUAAAUGAUGAAAAUAUCAUUUUAUAGAAAAAAGACGAGAAGACCCUUAGAGUUUUGAUAUUUAUAUAUUUUUGUUGGGGCGACAGGUAAACAUAUAACUUUACGAAUUAUCAUUGAUCGAUUUUUUAUAAGAAUAAUAAAACUACCUUAGGGAUAACAGCAUUAUAUUUUUUUUUAUGAUUGUGACCUCGAUGUUGGACUAGGAACUUUAUGGCUAGCCGUCAAAAAAGAUUUGUUCUGUUCGAACAAUUUUAUCCUACGUGAUCUG
rnacentral:rRNA from 1 species